rnacentral:lncRNA from 1 species
UCCUUCUCUCUCUCCAGUAUAUUAUUAUCCUUCUCUCUCUCUACAGUAUUAUAUUAUUAUCCUUCUCUCUCUCUACAGUAUAUUAUUAUCCUUCUCUCUCUCUCUACAGUAUAUUAUUAUCCUUCUCUCUCUACAGUAUAUUAUUAUCCUUCUCUCUCUCUCUACAGUAUAUUAUUAUCCUUCUCUCUCUCUCUACAGUAUAUUAUUAUCCUUCUCUCUCUCUCUACAGUAUAUUAUUAUCCUUCUCUCUCUCUACAGUAUAUUAUUAUCCUUCUCUCUCUCUACAAUAUAUUAUUAUCCUUCUCUCUCUCUACAGUAUAUUAUUAUCCUU